rnacentral:rRNA from 1 species
CCUGCCCAGAAGCGGGGGAUAACACCUGGAACCAGAUGCUAAUACCGCAUAACAACUUGGACCGCAUGGUCCGAGCUUGAAAGAUGGCUUCGGCUAUCACUUUUGGAUGGUCCCGCGGCGUAUUAGCUAGAUGGUGGGGUAACGGCUCACCAUGGCAAUGAUACGUAGCCGACCUGAGAGGGUAAUCGGCCACAUUGGGACUGAGACACGGCCCAAACUCCUACGGGAGGCAGCAGUAGGGAAUCUUCCACAAUGGACGAAAGUCUGAUGGAGCAACGCCGCGUGAGUGAAGAAGGGUUUCGGCUUGUAAAACUCUGUUGUUAAAGAAGAACAUAUCUGAGAGUAACUGUUCAGGUAUUGACGGUAUUUAACCAGAAAGCCACGGCUAACUACGUGCCAGCAGCCGCGGUAAUACGUAGGUGGCAAGCGUUGUCCGGAUUUAUUGGGCGUAAAGCGAGCGCAGGCGGUUUUUUAAGUCUGAUGUGAAAGCCUUCGGCUCAACCGAAGAAGUGCAUCGGAAACUGGGAAACUUGAGUGCAGAAGAGGACAGUGGAACUCCAUGUGUAGCGGUGAAAUGCGUAGAUAUAUGGAAGAACACC